CCCGGUGAUGCUCACUCACCCUGGCAACGUGCCCACUUGAAUCAGCUCAGCGUAAAACAGGGGGAGAAAAUCUGCUCGUCUUUCCGGGUCCUAAGGGGGCCCUGCGGCCUCCCCCACCUCCCCCACCCCGCCCAGAUGGCAGCGUUUGUGAGGAGAGUCACCCAGGGGACAGCGAGCAGCUCCACCGAGACUGGACGACCCUGGAAACACUCUUCAGGGCACAACUCUUGUGGUGACAGUGGCCCCAGAAGGCAAGCAGGCUGAGCUGUGACCCAUACCAUCUUGCUGCCUGAGCAGAGAUGCUUUGGGAGUUGGCCUGUGUCAGCGAGCAGGGUUUUGGUUCCUGUUUUCUCUCCUUGGACCUGCCAGGACGCUAUCAGGUGUGGGCCGGGGGCCCCCCAGGUGCGCCCACGUGGCCCCGGGUCCAUGGCUCCCCCCAGGGGCCGGGCACUGGUUCCCAGAGCCCCAGUUCCGGACCCUCCCUGCCUCUGCACAGGCCGGGAGAGGGUGAGCCCCACGCAGGCUGACGUCAGCCCAGCCUUCCGGACAGGAAGCCUGCAGCCGGCAUCCGGACCUCCAGUCCGCGCCCGGCCGCGGCUGGCACCAGGGACGCCGCAGCUCUGAACAAGAGGGGCUAAAAGCUCCCUUCGCCCAGUGAAACUCUCAGGUGUGUCCUGGAGCAGCCCCCGUCCUCCCCUGAUGGGCAGCAGACAUUCUGGUCUGGCCAAGGGGACCACCCCCAACAAGGGCAGAGCUGGAGUGGCCCAGGGCGACCACAGCGCCCCUCUCCCCGGGGAUCCAAGUUGGGUCAGUGUCAGGCCAAGCAGGGCGGAAGCUACCCCACCCACGCCCCAGUGGGGAGUCGGCCCUGUAUAGGUGUUCAGCUAAGAUCUCAGAACCUUCCAGAACCCCGCAGGCCCCUGGUAACCUGUCUCUGACACGCAGUCCGCCCCCACUUAUCAGUCUUGGGGCUCCUUUUCUUCCUGGUUCCAUUGCUCCUAGGAACUCACAGGACUUUGGACAGAUCUGAGUUCAGAUCCUGCCCCCUCCUGGGGCCGGCGGGUGUCGGGGGCUGUGGGCGUGAAUGCCCCCUCCAUGGCGGUUCAGAUGCACUGACACCAAGAUGAGGCAGCGGGCACUUAGGCAGCAGAGGGAACUUUGGGGGAUGGGUAGAUUUCAGACCCUGGGUCUUCCGGCUUCUGGGAGCUGCAUCCUGCAACCAGACAAAUCCCAUCUGAAGCCCUGCAGUGGGGCCCAGGAAGCUACAUUUUCACAAGGCCCCGAAUUUGCAGCAUGUCUGAGCUCUGGGUUGUAGCCUCGGGCUGGGGCCCUGGUUCACCAGCUACAUCCCUCAGUGUUUCUGAGCUUCAGCUUCCUCAUCUGCAAAAGGCCAUUCUCACCGCAGCCUGCACAGAAUGCUCUAGGCGUGGGUGCUGGGCCAUAGCAGGUGUCGGGCGAGUGGUCCUGCCCAGCAAACACGGAAACCACACAGCACGAGAGUGAAAGGUGCCUGCCGCUCUGCCGUCCAGCGGACAUGGGUUCUGAAACAUUUCAGUGUGUUUUCUGCCAGCUUACCUUAUCAAUAUAAUACAAUUAAAAGCUGGGGCCAUGCUGUA